AUCAGAUGAAUUUUCUUUUCAAUUGGUAUCAGAGCAGAAAUGAUACAUAUAAUUCAUAGUUAAUUUUUUUAUAUAAUUAUAUAAGAUAUAUGAUUAAAUUUUGAUGGUAGAUAAUAAAUCUGAUUUAGACUUGUUAAUAUAAAAUUUAUAAUCUAAUUUUGACCAAGAUUUUAGGAACUAAAUCAAUAGUUGAUUGAAGUUUGUUAUAAAUCUAUUAUAACAGAAUUUUCUUGAUGCAAAUUUUUGUUGAAAUAAUAAUCAAAUUAAAAUUUAUUUUAAAUAU
rnacentral:lncRNA from 1 species